AUUUAAGCUUCCCCACCCCAAUCUUGUUUGACCUUGAAUGCUAAGGAGUUAGGUCUGGUUAAUACUUGGGUGGGAGACUGCCUGGGAAUACCAGUGCUAUAGACU
rnacentral:rRNA from 1 species